UUUUUUAUUUUUUUUAUGUUACACAACAACUGCCCAUGGCAAAACAUGGAAAGCUAUCAAAUGCCUUACAUUGGACUGCAGUUAUAUAAUUCAUGAUUUUAUCAACCUGAAAUUCAAUAACUAAACAUUUUGAAAAAGGAACAGAAAAGUGCUACAUUAGGUAGCAAUGCAUGAGGAAACAAUAAUCAAGAGAUCUAAGCAAAAGGAUCCCCCAUGUAGCAGAUUCUCUGAAGAACAGAGAAGCACACUGAAAGCGCAGACGAGAAGCUUUGUGGUUACAGUAAGUAACAGGGUCGGGUCUUCACUUCCUGGUGCAGGCAAACCGAGACUUGCAGAGGUAAAAAAAAAAAAAACAACAGAAGCAAAACAAAGUCUUGGUUGAAGUUUUUGGACAAAGUCUUCUUAACCUAGAUGCAAUGUUACUAGCCUAUAUAGAGGUAGGAGUACAGAGUAAAAUGGAGAGAUUGAGUCACAAGCCUCCUCUAGGUGAUGGACCAACCGUGAAAGGAUAAGAGGGUCAUUCCAUCUCCCUCUAUUACACCCUACCACAAUCGCCUGCCAAUAAAAGGAACGUGAAAACAUUGGGUUGCCCAUCUAUGUCCCCUUGUGAAAGGAAAAAAAGGUGAUCCUCAAACACACCUGAAAAGACAGUCUUGGUGGGCCACCUGACACCAUGUGAAAAACAGAGCAGUGCUUUGUUUGCGAUCUGCUCUCUUUCAAGUGGAUUACACGUUGUGAAAUAAAUAAAAUAAUAAUCCACUAA